GACGAACUGCGCAAACGUUAUUCGGAAUCACUGGGCUUAAAGAGUGCGUAGGCGGCCUUGCAAGUGGGGUGUGAAAUCCCUCGGCUCAACCGAGGAACUGCGCUCCAAACUGCAAGGCUUGAGGGAGAUAGAGGUGAGUGGAACUGAUGGUGGAGCGGUGAAAUGCAUUGAUAUCAUCAGGAACACCAGUGGCGAAGGCGACUCACUGGGUCUCUACUGACGCUGAGGCACGAAAGCUAGGGGAGCGAACGGG
rnacentral:rRNA from 1 species